rnacentral:lncRNA from 10 species
CGAGGGUGUGGCCAGCAAAGGACUUCAAGGCCCAUGAUCCCUUAGGAGGGGGCCGGCUGCAUUAGGGGUGGCUGCUGGUUUGUAACGUGCGUUGUUGGGGGCUGGGGAGGAUUUACGGCUCUAAAGCCUUCCAUAUAACGCUUUAACGAAUGGGAAUAAUCCACAUGAGAGUUGCUCCUUCUGCCUGGGCCUGGGAAUGAGAAGACCUGUGGAGCUGAGCUACUGCUUACCCACAACCUGCAUAUACAUAAAUCAGAAGCCAGCACUGGUUGUUGUGAGUCGCUUAGAUUUUGGGCUUGAUGAAGAUGACCUUAGGCACAGUGACCCUGAAGGCCACAUGUUAAAGACAGUGGAGCCACAGGAUGGAAGGAAGCUGGUUCCCUGAAUCAUCACGUGGCAGAGAGCGGACCACUAAUCAGGAUCAUGUGUUUCAGAUUUCACUUGACCAAUAAAUCAAUUUCAAUUUUGUUACACUGCUA